UAUUGUUGACUGGGACGGAGAGCAGUUGGUGUGCGAACAGCGUGGAGAGAAACGGAAUCGGGGCUGGAAACAUUGGCUCGAAGGGGACCAGCUGCAUUUGCGCAUGACUGCAGAGGAUGAAGUCUGUGUCCAAGUUUUCCAGAAAGUGAAGUGACAGGAACCCACCUGCCAACCCAGUGUCUACCUGAUACCAAGCACUGACUUCAGGAUACAGCAGAACCCCAGAGAGGAAGGUUGUCCAUUCCUCACAACAUGCCCCAAACCUUUGUUUUUGAAAUAAAAUUAUCCGUUGUCUCCGUGUCA